rnacentral:lncRNA from 1 species
CAGCUUUGUUUCUGCUUUAUAUUUUUAUUACAUCAUUUUGAUGUAAAUGUUUUUAUAAUGGUUUCCCCACAAGACUCGCAUGUAACUAAUAAUUCAGUUGCCAAACCAAAACACUUCACGGGCACGAUUUUUAAAUUUCCAAAUAAUUUGCAGUUACUGCAUCCUAAAUUUUCCACCAAAUUUUCCAACAAAGUUGUAUCUGUGAAAAUAAAUGGUGGCUUACUGGAAACGUCUGAAUCGGAAAACUUUUCGUUAUUAAUUGCUCCAUUAUUGUUCAGUUCUUGCUCAAAUGAUCUAAACUUUCAUU